CACCCGAGUGAGAGAAAAAGUGAAUUCUGUGUUGAUUUGUUGACUCUCAACAUACUCGUUUUGGUGCGAAAGUCGCUGGAAGUUUCCUGAGAGAAACAGAGAAAGCAUUCAUGUAUGUAACAUAGAGAGAUGAGAGAGGGGACAUCGACUUGAGAUCUUCUUCAUCCCUCAGAUUCUAUUCUACACACAGACAGACAGUGCAUGCGCAGCUCAAAACAAUAGGUGACUAACUACUGACAAACUACGCUCUCUCACUCACUCAAUGGCGUUUGAAAGAAGAAUAUUAUCAUCCAUCUUUAAUAAGAAUAAGAAUAAUAACAUCAACGAUGAUGACGGUAACUACAAGUCCCGCUGUUCAGAUCAAGAAAGGAAUUUCUUGGAAAACGGAAGCAUGUUUUUGGAGGAUCUUAUUGCUUUUUCAAAUG